CAUUAAUUUUGUUGGAUUAGAAUUUAUUUCUAAUUACUAUAUUAUCCUUAUUUGAAGUGAAUUUACCUAAACUACCCCUAACCCUAAAAACCCCAACCCGGUUACCCAUUUCCUCUAACCCUACAGCCACCAAAACCCUCCCCCAACAACCAGCAGCAGCAACGCUGCAAUGGAGAAGGAAAAUAGAAAACAGAAAAGGGAGAGGGAGUCAGAGUCGCGCGCCAGGGGAAGAGAAGAGGGAGAGGCGAGCCAGCAGCGGUGGGCCUCGCCGUCGCCGCCGAGCUGCUCGCCGUUCGCCACCAACGUCGAAGAAGAGGGAGAUCAGAAUCGGAAGUGAAGAGGGUCGCGUUCCACGCAGUGCAUUCGCGUCGCCCUCACCGCGCCGCAUCGCCGUGCCACCAUCACGCCAUGGAUCUGCUCUGUUCGCGAGCUGAGCCAAGGAAGGAGAGACGACCGCGACGGGGAGGAGUGGGAAAGCCGCACCGACAUUGUUGGAGUCUCACUGCCGCCGUCCCCGUGGUGGCUGGUGUCAUCACCAGAGAGAACCACCGGAGUUGCUGUCUGCCUCUGCUGGGGUUCGUCGCCACCGGAGCUUCCCUGGCCGACAGAUGCAGCCGCCGCCCUCCUAGCUGCCGCUGUUGGAGUUGAUGUUGCUCUAGCCUUGCCCUAACUCCAUCUUGAACUGAGAACCGCUACUGUUGGUGAGUUGCAUUGCCACUGCCCUUAACGGAGGUAGUUACUGGCUGCAUUUGGAAAUUUCUGUUGCAACUUGCGUUUGUUCUGGAGCUGUUUCAUCGGUUGCUGGAACUACUAACGGAGCUGGCUGAGUCACGGUAAUUCUGGCUGCCAAGGGCGGUUCUGUGGUUGUCGGAACCACUGCUGAAGCUUCUGUGCUUUGGUUCAGUUAGUAUUCCUUAGUUGCCGAUUAAGUUAUCGGAGCCACAUGUUGCGCGUAAGGGUUGUCCUUGCUGCUGCGAGAGUAAACAAAGCUAUGAUGUAAGCUGCCGGUAAAUUCAGGUUGAUUGAGAGUUCCGGUGACGCUUUUGGAUUAUGAUAUUGCGUUUUGAGGAUAUGGGCGCAGAAGUUACGAAGAGCUUAUUUAAUUGUUGUUGUGAUGCUCUGUAUUGUUUCAGUUAUGGUUUAUUGUACCCUCGCCCUUAUCUUGAUAUAUUCUGUAAGAGGGAUAGAAAUUGUAUUGGUUAAUGUGUGUAAUAUUAUUUAUAUAUAUGUAUGUAUAUAUAUGGAUGUACUCUUUAUGAGUUUCUGGAAGUUGUAUGGUAUGUAUGGAUGUACGUUGUAUAGCAAAAGUAUCUUUUUUGGGAGCGGUAUCGCGGUUUAAAGUUUUAAACAGGCUCAUAUUUUAGUAUUAAAUAGUAUAAGUGUCAUCGUAAUGUCCGAGGUAUCAGAGUUGCGCAGCCGGAAGCGUGAGCUUUGGUAGUUAGGGUGUUACAUUAUGGUAUCAGAGCGGUCUUUCCUGUAGAGCCUGAGGAAUGGACCGACUAUGCUUCAAUUGCAUACUCUGAGCUUUUGUCAUGUAUUAAGUCUUGUCUGAUGACGAGAAUUAGAGCUUUAUGCACAUGACGAUCUAUCGAUUAACACUGUUAGUCUUGCAUCGCAUAAUUCUUGGUAUUAAGUUUGGCCGGCUUGAUACUAGUGAAUUAUGUAUAUGAGAGCACUAAUGGGUUGUCAUAGAUGAUAUACGAGUUUUGAGCAAAGCGAAUCGCGGGUUUUGGAAACGUUAGAAACUAUUUCUCGAGGCUAUUCAGUUGUAUAUCUUGGAUUUUGUUCGAGUCGACCUGUUCUUUCAUAUCCUAACUUGAAGUUCUUGUUUGCUACUCCUCUUGAAAAGUAAUUUGAUGUUUCCACUC